rnacentral:rRNA from 1 species
UACGUAGGUGGCAAGCGUUGUUCGGAAUCACUGGGCUUAAAGGGCGCGUAGGCGGGCUGUUAAGUCUGCGGUGAAAUCCCCCAGCUCAACUGGGGAACGGCCGUGGAUACUGGCGGUCUCGAGGAAGGUAGGGGCGUGUGGAACUAUCGGUGGAGCGGUGAAAUGCGUUGAUAUCGAUAGGAACUCCGGUGGCGAAGGCGACACGCUGGACCUUUUCUGACGCUGAGGCGCGAAAGCCAGGGGAGCAAACGGG